ensembl:lncRNA novel transcript
GCAUCUGUGAGGUCAUCUCCCUUUCUGUAGAGCAUAUGAUCUUUACUGAUGCACCUGCAUCUGGCUCAGACUUAGUCACCCAGCCCUGAAAUUAUAUCAUAUCACAGGUCAUUCUCUGAGUCUCUUAAUGUGAGGCCUUGAGAGAAAAAUCAACAUGCCUUCUGUUGGAUGAAGACCAAUCAGCAAGAUGGUGGUGAUUGUGAGUCGUUGCAAGGAUCAAGUGAGUUGAAAUCCGUAAGGUGCUUGGGAGAAUGCCUGGCGCCUGGAAGCACUGUUGCUGCAGUAAUUCUGCUGACGUCAUCCCCAUACUUGCCAUCCUCUUGCAGGGUUGUAGGUUCUAAGG